AUGCCGCGGUGAAUACGUUCCCGGGUCUUGUACACACCGCCCGUCGCACCACGAGAGUUUACAACACCCGAAGUCGGUGGGGUAACCCGCAAGGGAGCCAGCCGCCGAAGGUGGGGUAGAUGAUUGGGGUGAAGUCGUAACAAGGUAGCCGUAUCGGAAGGUGCGGCUGGAUCACCUCCUUUCU
rnacentral:rRNA from 1 species